rnacentral:rRNA from 1 species
GACGAACGCUGGCGGCGUGCUUAACACAUGCAAGUCGAGCGGUAAGGCCCUUUCGGGGGUUACGACGAGCGGCGAACGGGUGAGUAACACGUGGGUGACCUGCCCUCAGCUCUGGGAUAAGCCUGGGAAACUGGGUCUAAUACUGGAUAUGACUCCACGGUGCAUGUCGUGGGGUGGAAAGCCUUGUGCGGCUGAGGAUGGGCCCGCGGCCUAUCAGCUUGUUGGUGGGGUGAUGGCCUACCAAGGCGACGACGGGUAGCCGGCCUGAGAGGGCGACCGGCCACACUGGGACUGAGACACGG